UACGUAGGUGACCAGCGUUGUCCGGAUUUACUGGGCGUAAAGAGCGCGCAGGCGGUCGUUCAAGUCGAGUGUGAAAGCCCCCCGGCUCAACUGGGGAGGGUCAUUCGAUACUGAUCGACUUGAAGGCAGGAGAGGGAAGCGGAAUUCCCGGUGUAGUGGUGAAAUGCGUAGAUAUCGGGAGGAACACCAGUGGCGAAGGCGGCUUCCUGGCCUGUUCUUGACGCUGAGGCGCGAAAGCUAGGGGAGCAAACGGG
rnacentral:rRNA from 1 species